GAUGAACGCUAGCGGCAGGCUUAAUACAUGCAAGUUGAGGGGCAGCAUGAUAUACGCGAGUAUAUUGAUGGCGACCGGCGGACGGGUGAGUAAUAGGUAGGAGACCUACCUCAUACAGGGGGAUAGCAUAGAGAAAUCUGUGGUAAUACCCCAUGAGGUUAUAUGAAUAGAGGCAUAUAAUCAAAGCAUAAGCGAUUAUGCGGUAUGAGAGGGGCCUACUGACCAUUAGCUAGUUGGUGAGGUAAGGGCUCACCAAGGCGAAGAUGGUUAGGGGUUUUGAGAGAGAGACCCCCCACAUUGGAACUGAGAGACGGUCCAGACUCCUACGGGAGGCAGCAGUAGGGAAUAUUGGGCAAUGGGCGAAGCCUGACCCAGCCAUGCCGCGUGAAGGAAGACGGCCUUAUGGGGUUGUAAACUUCUUUACUAGCGACUACGUAACGUUAGUAACGUUACGAAGUACUUAAAUUCGGUAAGUUAAGGUAGUUAGGUUAAAAGGCCAACGGUACGUAACCUAAAACGGUCGACCC
rnacentral:rRNA from 1 species